GGGAAAGGGCGUGGCCCUGUCCUGAGUCAGCAGAGCAGCAGCAGGGUCACCAGCGCCGUCAGCCCCGCCCACACUGACACACGCAUCGCCACAAUCGCCACUGUCACCUGGCUCCUGACGUCACAGGGCGGGGGGCGUGGCCAGCGCUGCCAGGAGACACAGGGCAGCGGCCAUGAGGGGCAGUGGGAACCGGAAGACGCCGGACCAUCGCGCCAACUUCAGUGAAAGCCCGAAUUCCGCCUGGCAGUCCUCAAUCACCGCCGUAGCGUGACGUCAUCGCGCCACCCCGCCUCAGGCUCCGCCCUCCCCAGGGGCGAAGGCGGGACUUCCGGGACCAGAAACUGAGGCGGGAAUCACUGAGAGCCUUUGAUUUCCUGGUAAACCGCGGCGACUGUCAAUCAGCCCCGGAGGGGAGUGACUUCCGUGUGAUCUCCCAGCUUCCUGUCCAUCACAGGCAGAGGCUCCAGUCUGUCAAAGGAAAGCAGGCGGGACUUCCUGGACCAGAGACUGCAGGCCUGGUUCCUCUCAUGAAUAUGCAAAUGAGAGCCCGGAUCGGCUUUCGCUCAUUAAUAUGCAAAUCAGCAUCAAUGUGUCCUCCCCCCAUGCUCCUUCACUUCCUCCUGACAGCCUGGUCAGGGUCAGGCACCAGAUGCUGAUUAGAAAGGAGAAUUCUGCUCCAUUGAAGAGAAUGAGCGUCAGGCAGCGAUGAGCUCCAUAACUGUUUACACAAUGAAACACGAGGACCAGGGUUCCAUUUCCAGAACGCAUGCCAGUUAACCAUUUGCUGUAACUCCAGUCCCAGGCAUCUCCUGCCUUCUUCCCACCUCUGAAAAGAGUAGUUUUUGAAAUAUCGCCCAUACACUCCUUGCUUCCUGAAG